AAAGAAACGCAACCUAUUUAUCUUCAUUGCCCUUAGAUACAAUGCCUACAAAAAAUUGCCAACAACAGACUGCUGGGGUCCUGAGAUGCCUGCUCUUAAAGCUGAUGAAGAGAAGUGACACAACCCAACAGACACACAGCUGUGUGAAGAGGCACUGCGGGGAGUUCAGGUGCUUAGGUGCAAAUCUGUAACUGUUCCAUUACUGCCUAACAGCGCUUCAGGGUAGCGAUAAAACAAGUAUGGGAAGGCCACUGUGAACACACGGGACUUGGGAUGUCAUCUUGUGGUUGUUCAAAGAAAUGCAAGAACAGCUUGUUUGCUGCAGAGUUCCUUUAUUUCAAGGACCAGGGGAUGUUCAGAGGCACUUCUGUGUCAGCCCUCCAUAAAGCUCUAAGGAUAUCAUCCCUAUCUCCUGCUAAAACAGAGGUGAUAGACUCUGUCUGAGUCAGGAGUGUAUCCUGUUGAUGACUGCUGUCUAACCUCAUCCCAGAGCUGAGGAACAGAACCAUUCUUACCGGCAGG